CAUUUCUCUUUUAGCACGCUCUUUGUUUUCUUCUUCCAGAAGCUGUAGACGGCGAUUAAGUUUGAUUAUCUAAAAAAAGAAAGUCUGCUUUAAUGCCUGGUAUAAGACUGCUAGAUUCUCUAAAGAAUAUAUAAAAAGAAGCAUAUUUUAGAUACCUGUCUUCUUAAGGAAGCAGCAUCCACAACUGACAUGUCAUCUGGAGUUCCCUCAAGUGUUGCGUCCAAGUUUGAAAGACCGUACCUAUCAGAGGGGGGAAAAAAGUUUAGCUGCUCUACAUGUUGCAUGAAGAGUAAUUGGUCUCUGCAAAGAACUGUUUGUGUGAAUGAGGAAUGUAUGCAUCAGGGAAAGGCGGCGUGAAGGCCAUUUUUGAAGCCAGAUGGCCAAGGGAGAAGGAGUAAAGAAACUAAAAAGACUGAAAAAGACUCAGAGAUGCCAGAGAACCUCAACGCGCAUCCAUGGUUGAGAAGGGACAGAUUAACGACCCUGAGAUGAAGGCUGGCAUCCUUAAAACACAAAAUAAUUAAUUAAAUCAAAACCAGACAGAAUGACUCUCCCGGAGGUGUUUUGGGCCAUCAAAAGAUAACACUCACCGAGGAGUAACCGGUCAUAAACGGACACAGUAAAAUCCAUAGACUUCAAUGGAGAAGAAGGACUAUAAGAACAGAGUGCUUUGCCAUGGAGUCUUGCCAGCAACUUCAGGAGCAUCAGAUCGCGACCAACAGAGCCUGGCUCCCUGCUGCGACCAACCUAGCUGGCUACUAGAUUGAUCCAAACUCUAAACUAGAAAUUAUAAACAUCAACUGGCAAAACUGUGUGCAGUGUGUGUGUGUAAAUUACUAAAAAGCAUAUACUAACUGCUAUAUUCUCAAAUGAAGAAUGUUGCCUUUUCCCCCUAUAAAAAAAAAUCUUGUAUGCUCUGUAUAGCAUAACACUGGCUGAAAGAGAUCAGAUGGAUUAUCAAUUGAUAUGUGAAAAAACUAGUUUUUGAAAGGCAAGGAACUGCAGUGAACUUGGUUGAGGGACAACCUAAUUAGGCAACCUCCUGUCAAAAGAGCCACUGUCAUCCUAAGUCACUAUAAAACAAACAUUUCCUUACCUAUAUAAGGAUAAUUAAAACAGGGGGACUUUUAAAAUUCAAUUUACUGUGUUAUUUAUGCUGUUUACUAUUUACAAUUCCCUCAGCUUGGACUAUAUGAAAAUCAAUGAAGUGUUUCACUUUCAGGAUCUCUCUACUGCAGCAAUCAGGUUGCAAACACAGCAGAGGAAUGCUUAAAUAUACAUUUCAGUAUAUUAAAAACCACUGUGAAGAUUUCUGCUGAUUUAGGUUUUAUAAAACACUGUAGAAAAAUUUAAAUUUUCUGUCAAAUUUGAAUCCAAGGAUCCUUUCUCAGAGAUAACCAGUAUCCAUAGACUUGAUGAGUACAAUUCUGUUUCAUCUUUAUUGGACAGAUUUUCUGGAGGAAAAAAAUAUGAACUAGGCACAGUCCCCUAAACCAGAGAGUGAAUGUACCUGUCCUUGAGCUGAUUUGAGGGGAUAAUCUCACUGGGCAUCUAGGAAACGAAUCCUCAGGUUUUACCUAACUAUAGCCUGGAGAGAAAAAAAAAAUACACAUUCUCGAUGGGCCUAACUGCCCCCAUCCCUUACAGAACUGCAGGAAGUGACACUGGCUGGAAUUCAAAGACAACUCUGCAUUAGACCCCUCAGGAUAGUGCUGUUAUGCCACAGCGGUAGAAAGCUCUAUCUGGAUUAGAGCAAAUUUAUAUAUGCAGAAACUUGAAAAUCUCUCACAGCAAGGAAGACUUGAUACUGAGGCCAGGUAGUGGCAGCCUAUAUUAAAUAGUUCCACAUGGCAUGAUUUCCUAAUGUUGUGGUGACACAAAGGCUUUUUUCUUGCUUACGACAUAGCUGUGGCAUAAUACUUAAAUGAUAUAAAUCACUUAGACUUUCCACUACAAUUGCUCCAGCCAUCUCCUGUUGCUUAAUGUCACAGGUCAUUUGUAAGCCACAGUGAACCUAUGACACAGAAACUGGGGGAAUAGGGAGCUUUUAGGGGCUACUGUAUCAAUGGCUGAAGAAAAAAAAAGCAUAUAAAAAAUCUGACCAGACCACUUGCAGACCAGUCUGUUGGCAUCACAGUCCUAUCCCUCAGAGCUGGCUGAAACCUCACUGGUUCUAUCAAUCUCCUCAGAUGGCAUACUGAAAACAGAGCCAUCAUUCCAAUGACAUAGGUGCACUCCAACCUAAGACUGCAGCAGUUAUGAUAAGUCUAGCACAGGUGUAUCAUCACCUCACCAACCUCCAAUCCCCUUCCAAAUAUUAGAUCCAGAUUGUAAUCAGCUAUACUGGCACAGCCAGAAAUCACUCUCAAUUAUGAAAGCUUUAAAUUCCCAAGUCAACCCAGAAGAGUGAUCUGUAAGGAUCCAGACUUGGAGAUCUGUUGAGGGUGAGGUCUUAUAGACCAAUUUUUCUUAUCUAAACAUUAGCAUUUUAAAGCAACAGAAAAAGGAGUUACCACCCCUACUCAGCUUUUAAAAAUCUUUAUAAUAUUUGUAUAUUCAGGAUGUCUACUUUGGGGAGAUGGCAGGGGUGGUAAAGAGUGGGAGGUGGAAGGAAGUGAAAUGUACAUAAUAUGCAGAAAGAAAGAUUUCUCAGUUUUAGCUAUCAGAUCAUAAAUCAGGUUUUUACCCACUUACAUUGAAAUGACACCCAUCUAACAGAAAAAUGGAUGUGGAAAACCCCAUGCAAAACAAUAAUAGGUACAUUAUUGAAGACAUCUACAUUUUACUGUUUAUACACACUUUAGGUAUUAGUUGGCUUCACACCACUUUAUUUACUUCCCUCAGAGAAAAGCAGAGGUCAGAGGCCCAAUGGAAGUACUACCACAUGUGCUUCUAUCAUAGAUUGAAAGCUUCAAUUGACAUAUUGAAACUAAAUUCUAAAGCUUACAACAUAUUUUAAAGGACCUAAACCUUAAUGAGAACUUUGCUAAUGACUGUGAUGGGCAUACAGUCAUGCCCUACAGAACAUCUCUCUAUGCAGAAAGGAUGUUGAUCAGAUGUUAUGUUCAGCAUAGGUAUCCCCAAAACUAUUUUGGGAUUCAGUAAUCAAAAACAAUUAAGUCAUGAAAUUUUAAAGCCUAAAAUAGUGCACCCAGACUAAAAAGAAAUACAUUUACCUGGUGUUUUCAUGAUGAGGGUUAGAGGAAGUGGCAGCAGCCGACCCACCUCGUAACACAGGCCUACGGCAGGUUAUUGCAGAUAGGAGGCACAAGACAGAAGCAGGAAACAGCAUAAACACAGAGAAAAGAUACAACAAAAGAAACAAGGACAAAGAAAUGUCAAAAUAUUUUCCAUUAUAUUGUAUGUUAUUUCAAUACAAUAUAAUAUCUAGUUAAUAUGUUGUAAACUGUAUUUUCGAAAUACCCCAUAUAAUAUUAUUUUUAUUUAGUAUAGCACUAACAAUAAAAGUAUGCAGCUAUUGUAACAACCUAGUCAUUCUUGAUGGUAAAGACUGAUUUAUGGGAAUAUAUGCUGUUGAGAUACAAGUCUGUGAAUAAGAGCUCUUGAUAUAGGUUUUUUAAAUGCCAAUAAUGAAAAACGAUCUCAGCUCCUCCUCUUCUCCCCUUCACUUACUGUCUUUCUUCCAAUUUCUUUUUUAACUCUUUCCUUUCUGUCCUCUUCAGAUCCAUCUCAGCAGAAAUAGAAGAGCCAAGGCUUCCAAGGUUGCUACAAUUGUGUCUAGUAUGCUCAUGGCUGCUGAAAAGGUACUAAUGUCUUGAUUUCCAGAACUGCUGAGCACCCACAGCACCUCCUAACUUACUGUGGAGUUGCAGGUAUUUAGCACUUCUCAAAAUGAGGCUGUAACUGACCUCUAGCAUCUGUCUGUAUGCUGAAACAUCUAUGAUGUGUAAUCACUUCUCCAAGGCCUUGGGGUCUCUGUUUUUCACUCUUAUCUCACUUCAGGCCAGCUGCAGACAUCUGUACAACAUGCUAGUCCCAAGUAUAUACUAGGCUUCAGGUAAGACUAAAGAAUCCAGGUGUGAUGACCUUUAGAGCAGAAGUGUGUGGGCAAGAGGAUACACACAGCUCACAGAUCUGGCGCUAAGAAGGCUGAGAGAACUCUCUCUGGGAAAGGAAUAGAGGUGAGCAGCCGUGUACACAAAAGAACACACAAAAACCUCACCGUUAGUAGUUUCAUUUCAAGAAGAUGAAGAUUGAGGUGCGCAAGCAGAACUGUGAAGAAACCUUGCACUGUGCUUACUUGCACUAGGCCUGGCUCUGAUCAGUAAUUCUGGUGCUUAACUUGUAUCAGCAACAAACUCACCCACAAAAUUAAAAAUACAAAAAAAGUUACCAUACAGAUUGCCCAUACAGAAAGUUUCUUUCCACUCCAGGCAGUUAGUGGUUAGUUUACACCCUGAAGCAUGAGUUUUGAUAUCCCUUAUUCAUUUCUUAUUCCACCUAAUAUAAUUUUGGCUGUUCUCAUUAUCUAUUCAAGAAUUUUCAAAAUCUUUUUAAGUUCUUGGCCUCCAUAAUAAUUUGUGGCAAUUUAGUUCUGUAGCAUCUGCAAAACCUUGUUAUCUAAUUGAUCUCAAACACACUACCCUUCUAGAGGUAAUUACAUUUUCUAGGAAAUCACUAUCUGGGGGCUAGAAAACCAUGAGUUCUAAUCCAAACUAAUAUUCUGAUUUAAUCUGUGGACAAGUCUCUAAGGCCCAGAUGUUUAAAGAUAUUUAGAUGUUGCUCUGUUCAGUACUGCAACACUUAACUGCAUUAGAAGCUUAAGUGCCCAAGUCACUUUUGAAAAUGAGACUUCGGCUUUGUAAUGCUGAGCAGAACAAAGCCUAAAUACCUUUCAAAAUCUGGGCCUUAAUUCCUCCAUCUAGAUUAAAUUAAAUGUAAAGCUGUAAGUGAAUUAAAUUCCUGUGCAAACUGGUUGAGUAGAAGAACCAACAGUACUUUGCCCUGCCACAUCUUUGUUAAUUGCAUAUUUCAAAAAGGUAACAUUCACUUCAAGUACACGGUCCUCAUAUAGCACGCAGCAGCCAUUAAAAUCAAUACAAUUAACUUAGGUCUCUUUGCACUUUAUCUAAAACUAGCAAUUACUUUUUUUUUUUUUUUUUUUUAUUUUAUUUUUUUUUUUUUACAGAUCUGUGAGUACAGCAGGCAGUUAGUCUGGUUAUUAGCUUUCUACAUGGGCUUCCUUAAUGAUCAGAGUAACUUUUGUCAUAAAUUAUUUAAAACUUUGAAUUUCCUCGCUGAUAUCAUUUUGAUCACCACACUAAGUAUAUUUAAUACUAAUAAAUUAUCAAAAUUAACCACAUACCUGAUGCCAUCCGUACAUAGCAUAUUACAAUAUUCCAUUGCAAACACAAUGGAACAUGGAGUAAACCGUGCUGCAAAGUGUCGCAACACAAUAGGGGAGGCAAAAACAGACAGCAGUGCAGUUGCUGAAAUGGUCAAUCUGAGCUCAUCUUCCUCUGUUUGGAGCAGAGCACAUUUUAGGGGAUCCCAUAACAAUAAUUCAGUAGUGAACUCAUGGAUGUUGAGGAAAAAAAUAUAAGAUAGUCUUUCAUUCAGACUAAGUAUGAAUGUCUUGGCUUUCAGUUUGUGUUAGUGUGUGCGCAUGCAUGUGUGAGGGAAAGAAUGUAGUUAUUAAAUGGUUUAGUUUGA